GUGAUGGGUAACGAUGCUUCGAGGGUGACUGUUGUCGUUGUGUGCAGAAGGUCCCUGGUUCGCGCCCGGGUAUGGGCGAGGGGACAAUUUAAAAUUAUACUGUUACACUAAUAAGCUGAAUUUAUUCACUUAGCCAACAUAUAAAGACUUAUUCGUUAACCAGAAGCAUAACUUGGCUGAUAAACAUUUUUUGUCACUCGGGUCCAAUCAGGUCUGGUCUAGACUUUAGGGUACGGGUCGGUUCAAGGUAUGGUGGUCGUCGGGUCCAUUUGGGUUUGGGUCUGAUUGGCCUCGGGUCCGGGACCCAAGAAGACCUCUACUUGGAAAUACACACAGUAUAUAAAGUUGUUGACAGGGAAUGUGUAGUCUUUGCUCAAACUAAGGACCCAGAAACUGAUGCCAUAUCCUAAACUGGUCACAUCUCCACAACAGGACCCACAAGCAACAGUCUUCCAACGACCUUCCACCUCCCCACCACCACCAACUGAAGGUCCGUCAUUGGAUCUCCAUUCUCCCAGUGAGGGGGUUCGAUGCCAGCUGCCCAGCAUCUGAUGAGCAUUCCUCUGAGACGAGGCCUACGCCUAACCCAAACUAUUCAAUAAAAUGACAUAUUGUAUUCUA